rnacentral:lncRNA from 1 species
AUCAAUGUUAGUAGUUACAGAGUCAGUUCAGCGUCUGCCAGAGGUGAGUAGAACUAAACUUAAUCUUUUACUUUAAGAAAGCAAAUGCCUAAAGCAUGUUCAUGCAUCAUGUUUAUAUGUAAUAGGUUGAUUGCACUAGUUACACGAAUAUGACACAUUGCAUUAUUUACUGUUGAUGUGGAUGGACCAAGGCGACCCCAAUAGCCC